AUUGAACGCUGGCGGCAGGCCUAACACAUGCAAGUCGAGCGAGAAAGGUCUUCGGACUGAGUACAGCGGCGGACGGGUGAGUAAUGCGCAGGAAUCUACCUGGUAGUGGGGGAUAACUCGGGGAAACUCGAACUAAUACCGCAUACGCCCUACGGGGAAAGGACGGGGACCGUUCGGGCCGUCGCGCUAUCAGAUGAGCCUGCGUAGGAUUAGCUUGUUGGUUGAGGUAAAGGACUCACCAAGGCGACGAUCCUUAGCUGGUCUGAGAGGAUGAUCAGCCACACUGGAACUGAGACACGGUCCAGACUCCUACGGGAGGCAGCAGUGGGGAAGUAUUGCGCAAUGGGCGAAAGCCUGACGCAGCCAUGCCGCGUGUGUGAAGAAGGCCCUUGGGUU
rnacentral:rRNA from 1 species